GACGAACGCUGGCGGCGUGCUUAACACAUGCAAGUCGAACGGAAAGGCCCUGCUUUUGUGGGGUGCUCGAGUGGCGAACGGGUGAGUAACACGUGAGUAACCUGCCCUUGACUUUGGGAUAACUUCAGGAAACUGGGGCUAAUACCGGAUAGGAGCUCCUGCUGCAUGGUGGGGGUUGGAAAGUUUCGGCGGUUGGGGAUGGACUCGCGGCUUAUCAGCUUGUUGGUGGGGUAGUGGCUUACCAAGGCUUUGACGGGUAGCCGGCCUGAGAGGGUGACCGGCGACAUUGGGCCUGCGAGACGGCCCAGACUCCUACGGGAGGCAGCAGUGGGGAAUAUUGCACAAUGGGCGGACGCCUGAUGCAGCAGCGCCGCGUGCGGGAUGCCGGCCUUCUGGUUGUAAACCGCUUUCGCCUGUGACGAAGCGUGAGUGACGGUAAUGGGUAAAGAAGCACCGGCUAACUACGUG
rnacentral:rRNA from 1 species